CCGGAUCCAGCAGACUGCUAAGAGCCUUAAUGGUGAUUGUCAGCCCCCAGAUGCCGGUUAGAAUGGAAAUAAUCAGCACAGGCUGCAGAUCCGCAAUUUAGCAAUUUAAAGCAUUAUCAGCCAAAGACUUAUUAGAAAACUCUGAUUACCGGAUUCUCUGCCCACAUGAGCAGGAACACAAAAUAGACCAGCCCCUGUACUAGAGGCACCUGCAGCACCAAACACUGGAGCCAAUCGAUAGCCUUCCUGCAACAUUGCAAAAUCAGCACCAAUCAUAAAAGUGGGCGGUGGCCUAACUUUUGCACAGCGAAAGUGGGCAGAGCGCAGCAGGGCCAACAGCAGCACGGGGGCUCUUUGAGGUCGAUCCGAACUGAGCCGGCUGUUUCGAUCAGGGAGGCGUGGCCCCCACCGUAGGCCAUCAAAAGGCAGAAAAGCUGAUACAAGGCCGCGGUUAUAAAGCCUUGGCUGAGUGCCUCGCACAGUAAGCUAGAGCGCGGCACCAGUAGGGAGCAGUAGCUCAGAAAACCUAUCACCUAAAGGGCCGUAAGGCUGUUAGAGUUCUCUAGGAGUUUAGCGGAUGAAUGGGGCCUUACCGGGUAGAUUGCUGUUAUAAAGGUUGUGAAGGUUUUGGCCUUUGAGCAGCUGCGGCGCAGGAUGAAGCGAAGGGUGUUGGCGAAUACCAGCAGGGAGAACAUCAGGAAGGCCGCUCCUACUGCAGCCAAUGGGAUCACAUAGAUUGAAGCACCUAGAGGAGAUGAGACAACGCGCUUUAUCAGCAAUUAGACAAAUUAGGUUCAAUAAAGUUAUUGCAAAAUGCA